GGGUGGUGUUUGUACUGAAUGUUAAUGAGUUUCUCACUGUAGUGGAUUUAUGGUGGAAGAAGCAGAAUCAAUGUUGGCACUCUCUGAGGGAUCAGCCUCGUUGCUCUGCCUGCUCUCGGCCUAUUCUCCACAGGGGGCGCUGCUGAGCUGGACUGUAGACGGUGUCGAGGUGAACGAGGGGGUUCUGACCAGCACAGAAGAACAGAAGAACGGCAUCUACAGCCGCAGCAGCACCCUGACCCUCAGCAAAGAACGCUGGGAAGAGGCCGGGGUGUUCGGCUGUACCGUCUCCCACCACGACACCACUCAGAUCGCCUCGUUCCGAAAGAGCCGCUGUGAAGUCCACUAGAAUUCAAGUGUACACUUUAAAACACGCUUAGCAGUCUGAGGUGGUGUCACUGGUGUAGCUAUGCUGAAAUAAAGCUUCAAUGUGGAAAGCAUGUCUCCUUUUUCACUAGUGAAGUGUCUUGUGCUGUGCUUGAGUGAGUUUGGCUGAAGAACCAUGAACAUCUGCUGAAAGUGUUGAUCUAUUCUGGGACUCAGAGGUGUUCAUGCAAUAGAACUUUCAUUUCUUAUUUCUGUGAUUGGUGAGAAUUUGCAUAAACCUUUUAAAAAAUUCUAACACAAUCCAAUAAAAUACAUUAAAGAACAAACUGAGUCAAGAGAAAACAUAAAAAAAAUAUUUUCUCUGUGUUUUUAAAAGGAAAUACCAACCUUGAUCAGGAUGAAACAUCUCUCAGAUCCAUACUCAAGUUAUAAACACAGGUAGGCACAGGGCAAAACAAGAAUUUAAACUAUUAUAACCUGGACAAGGAAAACAAGUUUUAAAAAAACAUAUAAAAGAAGAACGACCCAGAAAAUAAAGUGCUAAAAAAACAAGGAAACACAUAUUAAGGCAGUAAUAGAGUCCUAUUCAAGACCGAAAUCUUGUUCAUUGUUCAUGUUCACACAGUCAGAUCAGGCUCCUACAGGACUUGAUCUUUCUCUCUGAGAUGACGCACAUGUUCUAGGAAAUGUCCUGAAUUUGAAAGUCCUGAAAGGAGUCUUCCACUGUAAUGUAUGAGCAGAGCAGGUAAUUUACUACACACACCCUCAUCGCUUCUUAACACUUGCUGUGUGUUGAGAACACAGGGCUGUCUGUCAGACAGAUUUGUAGGCUGUUAUUCACAGAAAUGAAUGAGGUUGU